GACGAACGCUGGCGGCGUGCUUAACACAUGCAAGUCGAGCGGUAAGGCCCUUUCGGGGGUACACGAGCGGCGAACGGGUGAGUAACACGUGGGUGACCUGCCCUUAGCUCUGGGAUAAGCCUGGGAAACUGGGUCUAAAUACCGGAUAUGACUCCAUGACGCAUGUUGUGGGGUGAAAGCCUUGUGCGGCUAGGGAUGGGCCC
rnacentral:rRNA from 1 species